ensembl:lncRNA
AUGCCAAACCUGUCCCAAAUGCUGGACACAGCAGGCAGGCCCCAGGCUCUCCAGUGCUCAAACCAACCUCCUGCAAUCCAGAAUGCAGAGUCACUCUUUAUACCAUCAGAAUUAGAUGGCAUUCUGGCACCACUCAGAAGGACGGUUAUGUAGAUGGAUUUCCAGGUACUAUUCCUUAGAUCCUUCUGUAGCAGAAUCACAACUGUCAUCCAUAAUUCAUAAUGCAGCACGUAGAAUAUUUAUAUCCAACAGAUCAGCUGCACUAGUUAGCAAAGCUGAAUUAGUCUCUGUUCCUCUAUGACAUCCUGGACUAAGAGGCAAGUACUGCAGUUGGUGACAAUCACAUUGCUCCAGCCUCUACUGAUACCUGGUAACUUCUGCUGGGGGGAGAAAGAGGGAAUGGCUGGGCCAGAAGUCCCUGCUGACACUGCCUCUGGCAUGAGCCAACAGUGGAUAUUUGGUGAUGGAUGAAAUGCAAGCCAUACUUGUUACCAAAUACAUCCCAGUACCUGCAAAACUGUGCUUCGGAGUCUUUGUGGAUUAUUUUGCCCUUGGGACUGAGGGUUCAUUAGUGAAAAUUCCUUGUUUCUUAGAGAAUUUUGCCCCAUGUUUACAGAUAUUGGCACAUGGCUGAACCGGAGCCUACGCAAGGCACCUACCACUCAGAAGUUACCAUGACGAGUUACUUUUGGCCACCUUUUUGACUUCUGAAUUCUGACUGUGAUCUUCUCUACCACAGUAACUCUGUUUGCUUGUCAUUUUGUGAUUUGUUAGCUUGUAAUUCCAGUUUCAGAUUUUCCCUUCUUGUUUCACUGUAGCUUGGAAACAGUGUUUCUUCCCCAAGACAAAUCAGGAAGAAAAAUCCAUCAUUUUCUUUGUUACUUGGAUUUUCUAUUCUGCUGAAAAUUUCCCUGCCUUGCCAGAAGUUAAAUUCACCAGCUUAUAUAUGUCUUACAUUUAUCUCCCAACUUAAAUAUAUCUCCUUUCUCUUCUACCCACCACUGCUCCCUUCCCUAUGCUGAUAUUGCCAUUGCUGCAGAAGCCUUACAAAUGGCAGCAGUGUCCAACUGAAAAUAAUAAAAAAUGAGUAUGCUCAAGUC